rnacentral:tRNA from 2 species
GCUCGUAUAGUGUAGGUGGUUAUCACCGUUCGUUGUGGUUCUUCUUCUGAUCCCCUUCCGAGCUGACCGCUGUUCGACUCAGCGUGCGAGCA